CAAACUGAAGAUGGCGACCGGCGCACGGGUGAGUAACACGUAUCCAACCUGCCGAUAACUCCGGAAUAGCCUUUCGAAAGAAAGAUUAAUACCGGAUGGCAUACGAAUAUCGCAUGAUAUUUUAUUAAAGAAUUUCGGUUAUCGAUGGGGAUGCGUUCCAUUAGUUUGUUGGCGGGGUAACGGCCCACCAAGACUACGAUGGAUAGGGGUUCUGAGAGGAAGGUCCCCCACAUUGGAACUGAGACACGGUCCAAACUCCUACGGGAGGCAGCAUG
rnacentral:rRNA from 1 species